AACGAACGCUGGCGGCAGGCCUAACACAUGCAAGUCGAACGCUCCAGCAAUGGAGAGUGGCAGACGGGUGAGUAACGCGUGGGAACCUUCCCUAUGGUUCGGAAUAGCCCAGGGAAACUUGGGGUAAUACCGGAUAAGCCCUUCGGGGGAAAGAUUUAUCGCCAUUGGAUGGGCCCGCGUCGGAUUAGCUAGUUGGUGAGGUAACGGCUCACCAAGGCGACGAUCCGUAGCUGGUCUGAGAGGAUGAUCAGCCACACUGGGACUGAGACACGGCCCAGACUCCUACGGGAGGCAGCAGUGGGGAAUAUUGGACAAUGGGCGCAACCCUGAUCUAGCCAUGCCGCGUGAGUGAUGAAGGCCUUAGGGUUGUAAAGCUCUUUCAGCUGGGAAGAUAAUGACGGUACCAGCAGAAGAAGCCCCGGCUAACUCCGUGCCAGCCGCCGCUGUAAAAC
rnacentral:rRNA from 1 species